UUGACCUCAAAUCAGGUAGGACUACCCGCUGAACUUAAGCAUAUCAAUAAGCGGAGGAAAAGAAACUAACAAGGAUUCCCCUAGUAACUGCGAGUGAAGCGGGAAAAGCUCAAAUUUAAAAUCUGGCAGUCUUUGGCUGUCCGAGUUGUAAUCUAGAGAAGUAUUAUCCGCGCUGGACCGUGUACAAGUCUCCUGGAAUGGAGCGUCAUAGAGGGUGAGAAUCCCGUCUUUGACACGGACUGC
rnacentral:rRNA from 1 species